rnacentral:rRNA from 1 species
CCUAAGGUAGCGAAAUUCCUUGUCGGGUAAGUUCCGACCCGCACGAAAGGCGUAACGAUUUGGGCACUGUCUCAACAACAGACUCGGUGAAAUUGUAAUUCCGGGGAAGAUGCCGGAUACCUGCGACAGGACGGAAAGACCCCAUGGAGCUUUACUGUAGCUUGACAUUGGGUCUUGGUACUACAUGUACAGGAUAGGUGGGAGGCUUUGAAACCAGGACGCCAGUUUUGGCGGAGCCAUCCUUGGGAUACCACCCUU